CUCGUGUCGUGAGAUGUUGGGUAAGUCCCGCAACGAGCGCAACCCCUAUUGUUAGUUGCCAUCAUUCAGUUGGGCACUCUAGCGAGACUGCCGGUAAUAAACCGGAGGAAGGUGGGGAUGACGUCAAAUCAUCAUGCCCCUUAUGACCUGGGCUACACACGUGCUACAAUGGUUGGUACAACGAGUUGCGAGUCGGUGACGGCGAGCUAAUCUCUUAAAGCCAAUCUCAGUUCGGAUUGUAGGCUGCAACUCGCCUACAUGAAGUCGGAAUCGCUAGUAAUCGCGGGUCAGCACGCCGCGGUGAAUACGUUCCCGGGCCUU
rnacentral:rRNA from 1 species